rnacentral:rRNA from 1 species
CCUACGGGAGACAGCAGUGGGGAAUAUUGCACAAUGGGGGAAACCCUGAUGCAGCGACGCCGCGUGAGUGAAGAAGUAUUUCGGUAUGUAAAGCUCUAUCAGCAGGGAAGAAAUACUGACCUUACGGUCAGCAGACGGUACCUGACUAAGAAGCACCGGCUACCUACGUGCCAGCAGCCGCGGUAAUACGGCGGGGGCAAGCGUUAUCCGGAUUUACUUGGUGUAAAGGGAGCGGAGACGGCAGCGCAAGUCUGAAGUGAAAUCCCAUGGCUUAACCAUGGAACGGCUUUGGAAACUGUGCAGCUGGAGUGCAGGAGAGGUAAGCGGAAUGCCUAGUGUAGCGGUGAAAUGCGUAGAUAUUAGGAGGAACACCAGUGGCGAAGGCGGCUUACUGGACUGUAACUGACGUUGAGGCUCGAAAGCGUGGGGAGCAAACAGGAUUAGAUACCCCAGUAGUC